AACCCUACAAAAACCCUACUUCCCCUUACAUUUCUUGAUUCCACUUAAACUCUCUCCUGCUGGCUGCGGCUUCCAGAUCUUAAAUCUGAGCGUCCCUGCUUUCAAUCAAGCCAUUAGCCAUGGCACUUGUAUUGCAUGCAGGAAAAA